GAUGAAGAACGCAGCGAAAUGCGAUACGUAAUGUGAAUUGCAGAAUUCAGUGAAUCAUCGAAUCUUUGAACGCAUAUUGCGCUCUCUGGUAUUCCGGAGAGCAUGCUUGUUUGAGUAUCAGUAAACACCUCAACUUCCAUAUCUUUUUUGAAAUGGGAGUUGGACUUGAGUGAUCCCAACGCUUUUCCUCACCGAAAAGUGGCGGGUUACUUGAAAUGCAGGUGCAGCUGGACUUUUCUCUGAGCUAUAAGCAUAUCUAUUUAGUCUGCCCAAAAAACAGAUUAUUACCUUUGCUGCAGCUAACAUAAAGGAGAUUAGUUCUUGUGCUGACUGAUGCAGGAUUCACAAAGACAGCUUCGGCCGACUUUGUAAACUCGAUCUCAAAUCAAGUAAGACUACCCGCUGAACUUAAGCAUAUCAAUAAGCGGAGGA
rnacentral:misc_RNA from 1 species